rnacentral:SRP_RNA from 1 species
GCCGGCGCGGUGGCGUGUGCCUGUAGUCCUGUGGCCCCAGCUACUUGGGAGGCUGAGGUGGGAGGAUCGCUUGAGCCCAGGAGUUCUGGACUGUAGUGCGCUACACCGAUUGGGUGUCCACACUAAGUUUGGUAUAAAUAUGGUGACCUCCUGGGAGCAGGGGACCACCAAGUUGCCUAAGGAGGGGUGAACCAGCCCAGGUUAGAAACGGAGCAGGUCAAAACUCCCGUGCUGAUCAGUAGUGAGAUUGUGCCUGUGAAUAGCCACUGCACUCCAGCCUGGGCAACAUAGCAAGACCCCGUCUCU